rnacentral:lncRNA from 1 species
CAGAGUUGGAUGAGUAAUCUAGUAUUACUCAGUGAGCUGGCGGCCUAUACCCGCAACCUAGACUCUAACCCAGACAACCCAAAAUAACAAUCAAUCUAGCCCUAGCAUGCAAUAUAAGCUAAGGUUAAGCAAGCUGUUACUAAGUUAGACUUGGCCUUUUACCAUAAUCCAACUUCCAAUUAACGGGAACCUGCAUUAAAACAAGUCAACAACCAAUCCUUAGUUAACCAUAUAUACGCCUGAGUUCAGUAC